rnacentral:lncRNA from 1 species
UAUGCAGUGUAAAAUCAGAAAUCACAAAUAAACAGCUACAGUAAAUUAAGCAAUAAAUAUAUUAUUAAAAACUGGUAUAUUUACAUACCCAAAAUAACUGCCUGGUUGAGCGCAUGGGUUAAGGAUCGUGUCCCUGACAAAGUUUCAUAUGAGCAUGCCCUACAAUUGAGCUUGUCCCCACGAACUCCUUCAUCAAUUCAGCUACAGAACUGUAUAAGGAGGCCACCGCGGAGCUGGACUAGGUUGUUUUCCAACUUGUCGCUUGCCUUUAGCCCUUGCUGGACUAGGUUGUUUUCAAACUUGUCGCUUGCCCUAAACCUCCUACGUCUAUGUCAUUAUUCGCCUUUCGCAUUAAUGUAUAUGUACUUCUAUUUUUUCCCGUAGCAACGCACGGGCACACAGACACUGCCUAAUAGUAGUCUACAAUUAACCAUAUUUUCAUUGCUGUCUGUCAACACCCUCC